rnacentral:rRNA from 1 species
GUGAAAUGUUGGGUUAAGUCCCGCAACGAGCGCAACCCUUAUCCUUUGUUGCCAGCGGUUCGGCCGGGAACUCAAAGGAGACUGCCAGUGAUAAACUGGAGGAAGGUGGGGAUGACGUCAAGUCAUCAUGGCCCUUACGAGUAGGGCUACACACGUGCUACAAUGGCGUAUACAAAGAGAAGCGACCUCGCGAGAGCAAGCGGACCUCAUAAAGUACGUCGUAGUCCGGAUUGGAGUCUGCAACUCGACUCCAUGAAGUCGGAAUCGCUAGUAAUCGUAGAUCAGAAUGCUACGGUGAAUACGUUCCCGGG